UUGGAGGGCAAGUCUGGUGCCAGCAGCCGCGGUAAUUCCAGCUCCAAUAGCGUAUAUUAAAGUUGUUGCAGUUAAAAAGCUCGUAGUUGAAUUUCGGGAUCAAUUCGCUGGUCGUGCCUCGGUACGUACUGUCUUAUUGGUUUCUCCCUUCUGAAGAACCUUGAUGUCAUUCAUUUGGUGUCUUGGGGAAUCAGGACUGUUACUUUGAGAAGAUUAGAGUGUUUAAAGCAAGCUUACGCUUGAAUACAUUAGCAUGGAAUAAUGAAAUAGGACGUUUGAUUCUAUUUUGUUGGUUUCUAGGAUCGACGUAAUGAUUAAUAGGGAUAGUUGGGGGCAUUAGUAUUCAAUUGUCAGAGGUGAAAUUCUUGGAUUUAUUGAAGACUAACUACUGCGAAAGCAUUUGCCAAGGAUGUUUUCAUUAAUCAAGAACGAAAGUUAGGGGACCGAAGACGAUCAGAUACCGUCGUAGUCUUAACCAUAAACUAUGACGACUAGGGAUCGGAUGAUGUUAUUUUUAAUGACUCAUUCGGCGCCUUACGGGAAACCAAAGUGUUUGGGUUC
rnacentral:rRNA from 1 species